UACGUAGGGGGCAAGCGUUGUCCGGAUUUACUGGGCGUAAAGAGCGCGUAGGCGGAAGCUUAAGUGUGGCCUGAAAGCCCCCCGGCUCAACCGGGGAAGGUGGCUGCAAACUGGGUUUCUUGAGGGCGAUAGGGGAGAGCGGAAUUCCUGGUGUAGCGGUGAAAUGCGUAGAGAUCAGGAGGAACACCGAUGGCGAAGGCAGCUCUCUGGGUCGGCCCUGACGCUGAGGCGCGAAAGCGUGGGGAGCGAACGGG
rnacentral:rRNA from 1 species